rnacentral:rRNA from 1 species
GAUGAACGCUGGCGGCAGGCCUAACACAUGCAAGUCGAGCGGUAACAGAAAGAAAGCUUGCUUUCUUUGCUGACGAGCGGCGGACGGGUGAGUAAUGCCUGGGAAUAUGCCUUAGUUGGGGGAUAACUAUUGGAAACGAUAGCUAAUACCGCAUAGCGUCUUCGGACCAAAGAGGGGGACCUUCGGGCCUCUCGCGCUAAGAUUAGCCCAGGUGGGAUUAGCUAGUUGGUGGGGUAAUGGCUCACCAAGGCGACGAUCCCUAGCUGGUUUGAGAGGAUGAUCAGCCACACUGGAACUGAGACACGGCCCUU